rnacentral:lncRNA from 1 species
GGCUGCACCUGUGGCAUAUGGAGGUUCCCACGCUAGGGGUCAAAUUGGAGCUGUAGCUGCUGGCCUACACCAGAGCUACAGCCACACAGGAUCCAAGCCUCGUCUGCGACCCACACCCCAGCUCAUGGCAACGCCGGAUCCUUAACCCACUGAGCGAGGCCAGGGAUCAAACCCUCAUCCUCAUGGAUACCAGUCAGGUUUGUAACCUGCUGAGCCACGGUGGGAACUCCGUGUUUGUGUUUUACUUAAAGAUCCCUCGGCGGAUGGGGGGACAGGCCAGGCGGCCCUGCGGUGGCCAGGAGAGCAGGGGUAGGGCUGGAGGAGCCAGCGGCCGGGGCCGCGAUGGAGGCAGAGCUGCGGGACUUGCUGAGGGGACCCCAGGACAGCAGCCAGCUUUCUGGCUGAGGAUGGCGAGGCCACCCAUGAGACGAGAACUCGGGUGGAGGCCAGGCCGUGAGCGCUCCAGAAGCAACUGUUGAGGGGCAGCGUGAGCUCCCCAGCCUGGAGCUCGGUGGGGGGUUGAGGGCCGGGGCCCAUGAGGGGUGUCAUUGGCAUCGGGGUAGGAAGGGAUGGCCGGGGGCUGGGGAGCGGAGAAGGAGCCAGCGGGGAGCCCAGGGCGGAGGAGCUGGAGCCAGGAGAGCAGAGCCGGGCCACCCAGGAGGCCUCGGAGAGUACAUUUCUAGGCAGAGGGAGGUGGGAAACGCUAGCUCGCAGUCAGGCUGGGCACUAAAACUGCCCACGGAGCUGGUGACACGGGCAGAGGUCACCGGUGAGCCCACAGAGCCUUCUGGGCGGGUGGGGGCUGGGCAGGGCGUGGGAGGGAGCAAGUGGAGUCAGCAGACGGGCCUUCUUCUAAGAAGAAGGCAGAAGCGGGGUGGGCGAUCGAGGGCUCUGAGCUCAGGGGACCACUUGCUCUUUGAGACCAGAGAGGCAGCCAGAGCAGAGGACCGGGACGGAACAGGGCGGGGGGCUGCAGCGGGGCUGUGAGCUGGGACUGCUGUGGCGCGUGGGAAGGCUCGGAGGCCGGGGACCCGCCCAGGAUCACAGAGCCAGUCCUGAGCCGGGCUGUCACCCAGCAAGCCAUCUACAAAGGAUCUGGAGCUGUGUGGGGGCUUUUCUGAGAACACAAGCAGAUUCUGCGCCUGCGAGGCUGGCGUGUCCUUAUUCAAAGGGAGCAUCUGGGGGGAGUUCCCAUCGUAGCUCAGUGGAAACGCAUCUGACUAGCCUCCAUGAGGACACGGGUUCGAUCCCCGGCCUCACUCAGUGGGUUAAGGAUCCGGCAUUGCCGUGAGCUGCGGUAUAGGUCACAGACAUGGCUCGGAUCCCGUGUGGCUGUGGCUGUGGUGUAGACUGGCGGCUACAGCUCUGAUUGGACCCCUAGCCUGGGAACCUCCAUAUGCCACAGGUACGGCCCUAAGGAGACUAAAUAGAUAAAUAAAAGGGAGCAUCUGUGUGUCCUGCCCCCCGAGGGCUCCUCACAGCACAGGACAUCCCCAUCCAUCCCCUGCCUCCUCCCUACCUCGCUGGACCCCCGAGUGUGUGGGGGAGAGACUCAGAGAUGAAGAUGGGUAGGGCUCUGUAUGGCCGCAGCCACUGCUCCACCCAGGUUCCUGGGGGUCCUGAGGCCUGUCGGGGGUGGGGUGGGGGUCCCUUGACAGCAGGGGGCAGGAAAUGGCUGCUCUGACUGUCCAUGGCCCCUGUCCCCAUGGGUCCUUCUGCUUGGAGGACACCCGGCCUCAGCUGCUUUAGCACUGGUCUUUUCCUAGGAAGCCCAUGUGUCCCCACCCAUUUCUUAUCUUUGAGAGAUGGGAGGGGGGCAGCCUGGGGUAGGGCCACCCUGGAAGAGCGGAGAGGAGCCAGCUGGAAGUUCAGAUGAAGGCAGGGCCCUGGGCAGGAUGCUCUGAUGCAGUCGUGCAGUGGGACCCUGGUGGGGUCCGGACCCCGGGUCGGCUGCCCCCGUGGAAUGAGCCCAUGAGCCCCGGUGCUCCUCACAGCCUCCUCAUUUACAGGAAAUGAAUUCUCCGCAAUGGGCAGCCUCUGUGCCCUCCGGCCCUCCGUGGACUGUCCACGGCUCGAGAGGAGAGAACUCAGAAACAGCACCCGGCAGCCAAACCCUUCCUGCUCCCCUGACCCCUGCACCCGUGUGGACACUCAGAGGACAAAGGAAAGAGCCCAAUGGCAAGGCAGGCACCAGCUCUCCGGGAAUCUGCUUCUUCUGGCCCCUAAAAUAAGAGGGCCUUUGAUCUGUCAGUUCCUCAUCUGCUGAAAUCAUCUGCACGGUGGCAAAGGCCCAGUGGCAUCUAUCACCUGUCACCGGCUCAGAAUGGGACGGUUCUACCUGCUCAGGGACGGGGGACCCAAGCUAAUCACGGCGCACCCGCACAUGGCAAUCCUGCCGCCCCAGGCGAGAACAAAGGGCUCUGGACGAUGCGGGAGGGCGCUCAGGACGUUGAGUGGAGGGCACGGACCCGAAUGAGAAGUUGUGCAGGCAGCGUGACCGCGCUCACCGCAAACCCGUCAGAAACAGGCCAGCAGGAACCAGUGACUGUCUCUCAGGAGCCCAGAGGUGGUGAUUAAGCAUUAAAGAAUUCGGUAUUUUUCAAGUUUUCCCUACGAGGCAGGUAAUACCUUUACGAUCAGAAAAAUAACAGAUAUCAAAUUUCAAACAAAGGAGGCCAGGCUUUGCGGGAAACUCCUCUUACUCACCCGGGUUUGAUGUCCAGAGGUGUGGGGAGGGACCUGAGGAAGCCCGCCUUUCCCACCAGCCAGUAGGUCUCCUCGAAGCCCUUCCCCUGGAAGAGAGAGGAGAGGGGCUGAGCAAACCGUCUCAAGUGGAGAGCAAGGCCGGAGGCGUGAGAUUCCCACAGCUGGCAGGAGAGCAGCCUAGAACCUGGAGUCAGACGGUCUGGGUGCGGCCCUAGAAAGACAAAAGACCAAAAAUAAAUAAAUAAAUAAAUAAAUGAAAGAGAAGGCCGAGGUGACAGACGCAUCCCCGCCUUUGUGGUGCUCGGGAGCAGGUACCACCCAGUGUCACGCCUACAACCGCACAGGACUGGCCGGGGACCCCCUGUGGGUGCACAAAGAAGGCAUGAGAGUUACUGCCAGGGGGGCAGGGGGGAGGAAGAAGAGGGGUGUUGCUGGGUCAGGGCAGGCUUGGGCGAGAGCUGAGGUCUGUGCUGGGGUUCAGAGGGAUGAGUAGGAUCCCAACAGUGCUAUGGAGAAGGCAUGGGCUUUGACGCCUCCAGCCCCGGGAGACAAGCUACGUGACUUUGGACAAGUACUUUGCUUCCCGGAUUUCAUUUCCUCAGCUGUAAAAUGAGGGCACAGAUCUCGUCAUUUUUGAUCUGGUGAUAAAUAUGUUCGUACAGGUUGUGCACCAGCACCGUGCCCAGGACGGCCACUGACAGAAGCAGCCUCUCUGCCUUGUCCCUUCUCCCCGUGAGAAGCCAAACAAGGGGGUGGCUCCCGGGCAUCAAAGUGGCCUUAGAAUUUGGGGAGUUUAAAGGCGAUCCGCUCCCUGGCUGGAAUUUCUUCCUGCCACAUCAGUCAGAUGAGAUUCUUUCUUGCCGCCCAUAGAAACUGGACCUCUGGAGACAUUUCCCAUUAAUCCCGGGAAAGAAAGUCUCUUACCUUCAGCUCAGUCUGGCCUCGAAUGUCAAUUUUGUAGCCUUCAUCCAGGCUGACAGUGUCUGGACGGUGCUUCUGCUGCCGUGAAUUCUAUACGCUGAGCAGAAAGAUAAUAGUUGUUGCCACUUGGUGACAGCAUACCUAGGGUUUGGCAAAAAUCAUUAAGAGCCUGUACCAGCUCCAGUUGCAGCCAGUAAUGCACACAAUUUGGAUUCAUGCAAUAUCCUUUGCCUGGCCUUCUUGUCCCCCUAGUAGAUUGCUGGGCACUAAAUCAGAAGUCUCAAGGAAAAGCAAAUGACACAGACGGAGGGAUAAGAAGAACUUGAGAUGAAGUCAGAAUCCUAGGAACACCAUCUCUGCUUAUAGGGCAGUGUGUGACGGCUGAACCAGCACAGAUAGGCAUUCUGUUUCUUUUAAGGGCAGGACUCCCCACAAGGGCCCCACAUCUGGUUACGCAGGAGGAGUCCUGAGUGACAUGAGGGAACCCAAACCUGUGACGCCAGAGGCAGAAGCUAACUUUUUUUGGCUGCUCUAAUCAAGCCAUCAGGGUGGUUCCUGCCACCAGCAAGGACCUAAAAUGGCAUUUUUGAAAUCGAAAGGGGGUCUCCUCACUGUAAAGCUGGGGAAACCAAGACCUGGAGGAAGAGCAUUGUGUCCAAGUUCACUAAGCACUGGCGUUCCCGUCAUGGCACAGUGGUUAACAAAUCUUGACUAGGAACCAGGAGGUUGAGGGUUCAAUUCCUGGCCUCGCUCAGUGGGUUAAGGAUCCGGCGUUGCUGUGAGCUGUGGUGUAGGUCACAGAUGCANNNNNNNNNNNNNNNNNNNNNNNNNNNNNNNNNAAAAAAAAAAAAAAAAAAAAAGUCGCUAAGCACACAGACCCAGUCAGGGCAAGAACCCAGGUUUCCUGCCUCUCGCAUCAUUGUUUUCUCUGUAAUUCUCUCAUCCCAAAAACCCCAAAGUUAAAAGAAUCAGGGACAUAGUACCGUCUCCUUAUAGUUGUUUUACUGAUAACUAAGGUACGCUGCCACCAGGUGGUGAUUCGGUUACUAGGCACUGUUUCAAACAGCCAGGCUGCAGGAGGCAUUGAGGGAGCCCUUCCGGGGGCAGAAUAGAAAUACGAGACACUCACGCAGCCCUGUAGACUCCAUCCGAGAUGCGGUGUUGACAGUGUCCCCAAAGAGGCAGUACCGAGGCAUGGUGAGACCCACGACCCCUGCCACGCAGGGCCCUGAAACUCAAAUAUGCCCAGUGAGCUCCAGCAGGUCCUGGGCCCAAGAGAAGUCCCUACAACCGUCUGGUCAUUUCCACCCCCACCCCCCAAAUGUCUGUCUCUUCCCAACCUCUUGGGCUCCAGAGGAGGGGUGAGGAUGAAGCUGUAUGGAGUCUCCAACACCACCUAGAGAGGACAGGGCAUCUGUGCUAGGCUCCGGGCUGGGGGUAGGCGGGCGCAGAUCAAUCAGAGCCGGGCUCUGCUCUUAGGGAGCUCCCAGUCAGGUCUGGGGAGGCGGGUAAACUUUAAACAAUGAAGAGAGAAGGCCCCAGGGCUGUACCAGCCCAGGAAAGGAAACCUGACCCAGUCCGGAGGACUCGCUGGAGGGGGCGGUACAUAAACUGUGUCCUGAAGGAGGAAAGAAUGAUGCAGGGAACAGCAGGUGCAAAGGCACAGAGGCAGCGAGUCCACGUGCCUGUGGGAAAGGAGAGGAGUUCCCACCAUGGCUCAGCAGGAACGAAACUGACCAGUAUCCAUGAGGCUGCCGGUUCUAUCCCUGGCCUUGCUCAGUGGGUUAAGGAUCCGGUGUUGCCGUGAACCAUGGUAUAGGUCACAGACACACCUCAGAUCCCGCAUUGCUGUGGAUGUGGCGUAGGCUGGCAACUG